rnacentral:rRNA from 1 species
GACGAACGCUGGCGGUGUGCUUAACACAUGCAAGUCGAACGGAAAGGCCUCAGCUUGCUGGGGUACUCGAGUGGCGAACGGGUGAGUAACACGUGGGUGAUCUGCCCUGCACUUUGGGAUAAGCUUGGGAAACUGGGUCUAAUACCGAAUAUGACCACUUCUUGGAUGUUGUGGUGGAAAGCUUUUGCGGUGUGGGAUGAGCCUGCGGCCUAUCAGCUUGUUGGUGGGGUAAUGGCCUACCAAGGCGGCGACGGGUAUCCGGCCUGAGAGGGUGUACGGACACAUUGGGACUGAGAUACGGCCCAGACUCCUACGGGAGGCAGCAGUGGGGAAUAUUGCACAAUGGGCGCAAGCCUGAUGCAGCGACGCCGCGUGGGGGAUGAAGGCCUUCGGGUUGUAAACUCCUUUCGCUAUCGACGAAGCCACUUGUGGUGACGGUAGGUAGAUAAGAAGCACCGGCUAACUACGUGCCAGCCGCCGCAGUAA